rnacentral:rRNA from 1 species
AUGGUGGGGGGAGGCGAUAUUGACUGCAUGUCAUGUCCUAAACCAAGAUCCACAAAGAAUAAGAAGAUAACUCCAUUCGAGGAAUGGGAGAAGAAAAGAUUAAAAAUCUCUUAUCUACGAACCUGGGGUUGUUUGGCGAAAGUCAAUGUGCCAAUUCCAAAGAAGCGCAAGCUUGGACCAAAGACCGUGGAUUGUGUUUUCCUGGGAUAUGCUUUUCAUAGCAUUGGCUAUAGAUUCUUGGUUGUAAAAUCUGAGGUACCUGACAUGCAUGUCGGUACGAUCAUGGAGUCGAAUGAUGCGACUUUCUUUGAAGAUAUCUUUCCAAUGAAGGAUAUGGCUACCUCAUCUAAUCAGGAGAUGCCUAGUUCAUCGAACCAGGAACCAGUUUCAAUUACCGAACCUGCCAUUUCGAUGGAACACUUUGAAAAUCCUGUGGAGGAGAACAAUGAAGUUCCUACUAGGAGCAAGAGACAGAGGACUGCAAAGUCCUUUGGUGAUGAUUUUCUUGUGUAUCUCAUAGAUGAUACUCCCAGUUCUAUUUCAAAGGCCUAUGCAUCUGAAGAUGCUGACUACUGGAAGGAAGCGGUUCAUAGAGAGAUGGAUUCCAUCUUGGCGAAUGAAACUUGGGAGAUAACUGAUCAUCCUUAUGGGUGCAAACCAAUAGGAUGCAAAUGGGUAUUCAAGAAGAAGCUUAGGCCUGAUGGUACUAUUGAAAAGUACAAGGCUCGGCUCGUGGCUAAGGGUUAUACCCAAAAGGAAGGUGAAGACUUCUUUGAUACUUACUCACCUGUGGCUCGACUGGCCACUAUUCGAGUUCUACUUUCACUAGCUGCCUCACAUGAUCUUCUCGUUCAUCAAAUGGAUCUUAACACUGCUUUUCUAAAUGGAGAGUUGGACGAGGAAAUUUAUAUGGAACAAUCAGAUGGGUUUGUAAUAGAUGGUCAGGAAAGGAAAGUGUGCAAGUUGCUGAAGUCUUUGUAUGGACUCAAGCAAGCACCCAAACAGUGGCAUGAGAAGUUUGAAAGAACUUUAACAGCUGCAGGUUUUGUUGUGAACGAAGCUGACAAAUGUAUGUACUAUCGCCAUGGUGGGGGCGAGGGAGUUAUUCUUUGUUUGUAUGUUGAUGACAUACUGAUUUUCGGAACAAAUCUGAAUGUUAUUAAGGAGGUCAAGGAUUUCCUAUCUCGCUGUUUUGAGAUGAAGGAUUUAGGAGUGGCUGAUGUCAUUCUGAACGUCAAGUUGCUGAGAGACGAUGAUGGUGGGAUUACAUUGCUUCAAUCUCACUAUGUGGAAAAGAUCUUGAGUCGCUUUGGCUAUAGUGACUGCAAGCCCUCUCCAACACCAUAUGAUGCGAGUGUGUUACUUCGAAAGAAUCGAAGAAUUGCUAGAGAUCAAUUGAAAUAUUCUCAUAUUAUUGGCUCGCUUAUGUACUUAGCCAGUGCUACAAGACCUGACAUCUCUUUUGCUGUUAGCAAACUAAGUCGGUUUGUCUCAAAACCAGGAGAUGUGCAUUGGAAAGCUCUAGAGAGAGUUUUGUGUUAUUUGAAAGGCACUGCGAAUUAUGGAAUUCACUACACUGGGCACCCAAAGGUGCUUGAAGGGUAUAGUGACUCAAACUGGAUCUCAGAUGUUGAUGAGAUAAAGGCCACGAGCAGAUAUGUAUUCACUCAUGGAGGUGGCGCUGUUUCUUGGAAGUCUUGCAAGCAGACCAUCUUAACGAGGUCAACAAUGGAAGAAGAACUCACAGCACUAGAUACAGCUACAGUCGAAGCAGAUUGGCUUCGUCGGCUCUUGAAUGACUUGCCGGUUGUUGAGAAACUUGUACCGGGUAUCCUUAUGAACUGCGACAAUCAAACUGUG